rnacentral:rRNA from 1 species
UACGGGGGGGGCAAGCGUUGUUCGGAAUUACUGGGCGUAAAGGGCUCGUAGGUGGCCAACUAAGUCAGACGUGAAAUCCCUCGGCUUAACCGGGGAACUGCGUCUGAUACUGGAUGGCUUGAGUUUGGGAGAGGGACGCGGAAUUCCAGGUGUAGCGGUGAAAUGCGUAGAUAUCUGGAGGAACACCGGUGGCGAAGGCGGCGUCCUGGACCAAUUCUGACACUGAGGCGCGAAGGCCAGGGGAGCAAACGGG